UACGUAGGUGGCAAGCGUUGUCCGGAUUUACUGGGUGUAAAGGGCGUGUAGCCGGGCUGACAAGUCAGAUGUGAAAUCCGGGGGCUCAACCCCCGAACUGCAUUUGAAACUGUUGGUCUUGAGUAUCGGAGAGGCAGGCGGAAUUCCUAGUGUAGCGGUGAAAUGCGUAGAUAUUAGGAGGAACACCAGUGGCAAAGGCGGCCUGCUGGACGACAACUGACGGUGAGGCGCGAAAGCGUGGGGAGCAAACAGG
rnacentral:rRNA from 1 species